ACAGCAGUCGCCGCGGUAAUACGAAGGGGGCUAGCGUUGUUCGGAAUUACUGGGCGUAAAGCGCACGUAGGCGGAUAUUUAAGUCAGGGGUGAAAUCCCGCAGCUCAACUGCGGAACUGCCUUUGAUACUGGGUAUCUUGAAUAUGGAAGAGGUUAGUGGAAUUGCGAGUGUAGAGGUGAAAUUCGUAGAUAUUCGCAGGAACACCAGUGGCGAAGGCGGCUAACUGGUCCAUAACUGACGCUGAGGUGCGAAAGCGUGGGGAGCAAACAGGAUUAGAGACCCGCGUAGUCCCUGUCUCUUAUAC
rnacentral:rRNA from 1 species